UGUAGUUUCAGGUCAGGAGACGGCCGCUCUCGCCCUUUUAUGGCAGGGGUGCCCCAACUCGAGGCUCCAAUUGUUGGACUACAGCUCCUACCACCACCACCACCCCCGCCACAAUGGUUUGGGCCACCCUUACAUCAUAAUUUUUUCUUCUAGGCAGCGUUUUAUAAUCCUCUGCAUACUGAUAUAUGAAAACAGAGCACUAAAAAGUCUUUUCUUCCUGGGACGACGAUAGACAGCGAUGGUGCUGGCAAAAGUUGAUAAGUUCGAGGACAAAGAUACAAUCGACUUUUAUUAUCGUUGGCUUUUCUGUUCGUUUGGUUUUGCGCUCCAAUUGCGAGAGCGAAAAGGCAGAGCAGGGAAGGGCUUGAUUGUCCCCGUCCUGCCUUUAUCAUCAACUGCUGCUUGACAGGCAUCCAUUCAGCAGGCUCAUGAAAAUGCUAGUCUUCAGAAACCUCUUAUAAGUUGACAAGGUGCUGAUUAGAGACCACAAUGACAUACAAUAAUGGUUGCCUCGCUGCUCUGUUAUUUUCCUUUUGAAGAAAAUGUAACCACAGUACAGAAAAAAGAGCCACACUCUUUUAAAAAGAGUUUGUUAGCAGUUCUCAGUUCUUUUAUUAGGAAUCCUGAUCUCCAAUUAAAAAGACCAUCUGUUCUAUGUGACAA